rnacentral:rRNA from 1 species
UACGUAGGGUGCGAGCGUUAAUCGGAAUUACUGGGCGUAAAGCGUGCGCAGGCGGUUCGUUGUGUCGGCGGUGAAAGCCCCGGGCUCAACCUGGGAAUGGCCGUUGAAACUGGCGAACUGGAGUGUGGCAGAGGGGGGUGGAAUUCCGCGUGUAGCAGUGAAAUGCGUAGAUAUCUGGAGGAACACCGGUGGCGAAGGCGGCAUCCUGGACCGGCAUUGACGCUGAGGUGCGAAAGCGUGGGGAGCAAACAGG